CGUCUACGCAGCACACGCCACAGCGAGCGGGAGCGCAACAGCGGGCGCUGCCCGUUUGGAUACAACCCCUUCGCAGGAGCCCAGAAACAUGUGCGGCCUGUGACUGCUGGGAUUCUUGCCUGUGGGGAUGCCGGACAGGUGCGGAUCAGAGCCGGGCUGAGGUCCUGGGACCCCAGCCCCAUGAUCCUGCACCCCCAUCUCCCAGGACCCGGCGCCCCUACGCCCCAUCCCUGGGUACCCAAGCGCCUAUUUUCAGGGACCCGCACCCCGACUCGGGACCCGCAGACUUCUCUGUGUGGCCCGCCCACUGGUGGGCAGCCGCUCUGUGCAGAAUAGGGCCUGUGUUUCCGUUGGAGACGCUCACCCUCGAAGUGGAUGAUCUCUCCGUGGCCGCAAUACACGCCCACGUGGGCCCCCACCAGCGUCCGUUGGGGGACAUCAGCCUGAACGGGAAGAGGUCUCCGGACUCAGGCUCGCUGCCCUGCAACUCCACGGCCUCGAAGUGCUGACCCAGGAAAGCCUCAGAGAGGAAGAACUUAACGGUGCUGACGGCCCCAGUCAGGGCCUGGGAGGAGAAAGGGAUCAGACCGCUGGGCCUUUGCACAGGCCAGGGUGAAGGAGGAGCCGGUUCCUUCCACUGAGCAUCGGGUCAGAUGGUCGGCCCAGGGCUCAGGGAGACGGGACUUCAGGCUAGGCCCAAAGUGAAUGUCAUCACUACCGCACCCCGCCUCCCUGUGCUGAGGAACUCCAGAGGCCUGGACAGCACGGAUAAAUCCUGCUCUGAGCCACCCCUGGGGACCUUCAGUUUCCAGCAAUUGGGACCUCCUCCUCAUCCAGUGUUUUCUUCUCAUCUCAAAUUACAGCCUCUCCAUUCUCUUCCCCUCCCCCUGCUCUAGGAUCCCCUUCCCCAGACUUCUCCUCUCUUGCCAUUUCCUGGCGGCAAUAGCCAGGACUGUGUGUACCUGAGUGGGGCAGCAGUCCUGAAGAAACUGAGAAACCGGGGUGAAAUCUGGACCCCAGACAGGCACCCCCUCCCAAGGCUGAGUGGAGAAGGACGCCUCCAACAACCACAGCAGCAAACACCUAUGGAGCAGCUGCUCGUUUUAGGGCUUAAUACAAUCCUCCAGGAUGGGGACUGUGUCCCCAUUUUCAGGAUAAGGAAACAGCUUCGCAGAGGUUAUACGUUGCUGGAAGGCACGCAGCUUAGUGUACCCCACCUGGGGAGAAGAAAAGACACGCUGAGGACUUCUGCUCCAUUUACCUGGGAUGUGAAGCUCAUCUAGGGAGGAAAAAAAACCUGCUGUCACCACCUGGCUGAUGAGGACUGAGGAUCCAAGCCGCUGCCCUUUCCACCUCCCCCAGCUCAGGUUGUGCGCUCUGCAUGUGGGGCUGGGCUGUCCGUGUGUCGGUGCAGGGCUGCGCAUUUGCUGUGUCCAUGAGUCUGUGCUGCGACACUGGAUGCAGGACAGGGAGGUCAAGUCCUGGCUGUGCCAC
rnacentral:lncRNA from 1 species